UCACCAGACGUUACCUUCCCCCACCGAUCAAUGACAGCCCACAAACCCCAUCCCCUCCUGUUCCCUUCCCCUUACCCACUUACCUUACCCGUCGCUCCCAUCCCACUUAAAUGUCAAUUUUUAUUUAAAGAUAAAAAGGGGGAGUUAGGGGAGUUGGGGAAGAAAACCAUAAUUUUCCUGAAUAUUUUCUCUUUGCACUUUAGUUCGCUAGAGAUGGCUGCCCAAAAGAUACCCACCAACGACCUACGAGAGUGGACGCCCCGACGUAUCCGGCUGGCCGCAAGCCUCACGCUCCUUACCAUCAUGUGGCUGCAGGCGGCGGACGGCUGGAUUGUGCCACAGCCGAAGGAGAACGUCUGGGUAACGCUGGCAAAGUCCCUCCAGCAAGAGAACUUUUGCUUGGCCAUGGGCAAUGUGGACAACCCGUUGUCCACAUGCCUGGUGGGGGUCCCUCUGGUAGCCGAUGAUUGGCCGGUUUCCAACUCUGACCUGCUCCGAACCACGGGCAGGAGACCUAACCCGGUCGACACUUGGGAUGCGUGGACGAAAAUACUACCAAAUUCGAAAGAGGAGCCCCAAGAAUUGGAUCUGUUGGGGUCCUCUCCUGCCACCUAUUGUGUAAAGUUUUAUUUUAAGAGGCCAAGUCAGAAUUGGCAUGGAAUUGACUUGGCCAAAAACACAUAUAGAAAAGACGUUACACCAUUGAACAAAAAAUAUAAUUCGGCCAACUGGUGUAACUAUACAAGUCCAAUUAUUUCGGUCUCCUCCAUUCGUCCCAAGUCGUUGCCCCGGGGGAUGUUUCUUGUCUGUGGGGAUAGAGUAUGGUCAGGCAUCCCAUCUCGGCUCCAGGGAGGACCAUGUAGCCUUGGCAAGCUUACUACCCUCACUCCAAACAAAACCCAAAUUAUGGAUUGGAAGAAAGAGAGACAAUUGGCCAGACAAAAAAGAUCCUAUGACCAAUUCGACCAAAAUUGCGAUGACAAAAUUUAUAAUUGGGGAAAAACAAAGAGGGUUGCCGCUUCCAUCUUUCUCCCAUGGUAUGCGGUUGCUAAAGCCCUCGGUGAGCUUUCUCACCUGGAGUGUUGGAUAGCAAAGCAUGCCAACGCAUCGUCCGCCGCCCUCUCCGAUCUCUUGGCGGACGAACAGACCACCAGGCAGGCCACCCUCCAAAAUCGGGCGGCGAUAGAUUUCCUGCUGCUAGCCCAUGGCCACAGCUGCGAGGACUUUGAAGGACUGUGCUGCUUCAACUUAACAUCGAGAAGCAAAUCCAUCCAAGCCAGCAUCCAGCGUAUCCAGACACAAGUUCAACACUUACAAACUGAGACUUCGGCUGUGGACCCUGCCACCAAGUUACUUUCUCAAUGGGGCGUCCCGGGAUGGGCAGCCUCUAUCCUCAGAGGACUUUUAUGGAUUUUAGUUAUUGUUCUUAUUAUUUUCGUUGCCCUAGCGAUUUUUAAGAGGAUGUUAAUUAAGACUUUAGGGAAUGUUUAUUUAAUUAAUAAAGAAGGGGGAGAUGUGGUAGGGGACUUGGGGAAAGCCCCCCCGCCCCCCCCUUGGGAGGAGGCUGUUGUGUAGAUCCCC
rnacentral:lncRNA from 1 species